GCCAGGCAUGGUGGCGCAAGCCUGUAAUCCCAGGGGCUUGGAGGCUGAGGCAGGAGGAUCGCAAGUUCAAAGCCAGCCUCAGCAAAAACAAGGCUGUAAGCAACUCAGUGAGACCCUGUCUUUA
rnacentral:sRNA from 1 species